AUGGCGUCUAACCUCUUGAUACUUGCUAAAGCACUAUUUUCUGCCAAAAAGUUCUGGCUUUCUAGGUCAAAAGAUCGUGCAGACAUUUCCAAAGCGCCAACCUCAAAAUCUUCGUACAGAACUUCGCUAAGGACCAAAAAUCGUCACCAUCUGACCAGCAUUUCUUGCUACUCUCUUCUGUUUCCAACUUGUCCCUUGUGCCCUCUUGCUGUCAAAUGUGAUGGAAUUUGUUGAAUAAACCUGGCAUCCACCAGGUGAUCAAAGUUCCCAUCUCCCACAAGGGAUGAACGGUCCCAGGUGCCUGUUCUGCGGUGCACAAAGGAUGGGACUUCCCUUCUGUGUCAUUUCCUAUGUGUGAGCUGUCUGGGGACAGUCUAGUCAAGCAGGAGCUUCUCCCAGUGUUGGGCUUGUGUGUGUUUCUGUGGAUCCUCAGAAGCAAGAGCACUGCUGCUCUAUGCUCGAGUUUGCUCUGAGGCAGGCCUUCACCCUGUAGCUCAGGCUGAACUUGGAGAUGCCCCGCAUCAGGCCCCCAGCACCUGGAUUGUUGGCAUCCCACUAUGCAGCAGCUCCAGCCGGACAACAUCCUGGCUCCGUGUAGAACUACAAGCCAACCAGAUCAACAUGGCCACAGUGGCAGCAUGGCUCUCAGGUACCAACACGGCCCUAGGUGGUGACCCAGACACCAGGAAUCCACAUGGCCCUCGAUGGCAACGGGAGCCAUGGACAUCAACACAGCCCCUGGCUGCAAUAGGGCCAUAGACCCAGACACAGCCCCUAGGUGCAGUCCUGGUCCAGAAGUCAACAUGAUACUGGGUAGUAGUAUAUGCUACUCAAAUCUGUAUGGCCUCUGCUGCAGUAUGGCCCUUGGGUACCAACAUGGUUCCAAGCUGCCGAUCAGAGUCUAGGCAUCUGCAUGGCCCUCCAUGGCAACAGGAACCACAGAUGUUGACUCAGACCCUGGCUGCUGUAGGGCCACGUUCCCAGACAUGGCCCUCAGCAGCAGCCCCGGGCCCAGAGGACACCAUGGCCCAUGGCACAGGCCACUCAUACCAGCAUGGCUCCAGCGGCAGCAUGGCCCUUGGACACAAACAAGACCACAAGUUUUGGCCCAGACCCCAGGCUUCUGUGUGUCCUGAACAUAUAUUUUUAAUUAUCUUAUUAUAUAACUAGAAAUAUAAAUAAGUACAAGUGUUGGAUCAUAUGGUGAUUCUUUUUUGUUGUUUGUUUUGGUUUUUUUGGAACAAGGUUUCCCUGUAUAGCUCUGGCUGUCCUGGCCUUGAAUUCAUAGAGAUCUGCCUGCCUCUACCUCUCAAGUGCUGGGAUUAAAGGCAUGUAUAACCAGUGCCUGGCUUAAAUAUUAUUUUAUAUUAGCAAAUGUUAAUCUUUUUUUUCAAGUUUAUUUUGAUUUACUUUGUUUAGGUUUACCUUUGACAACAUAUACAAAAGGCUGUAUAAUUGGAGAUAUAAAUUGGUUUCUCGCUCAAUCUUGUUUUGUAAAUAAGUUAUAUUUAUAUUUAGCACAUUUAUAAACACAGUUUUAGGCGUAUUAAUUGUAUUUAAUUAUACCUGGCUUUAUAAGAUUCAGACAUUGAACCUAGGGCAUCCUGCAUGCUAGGCAAACAUUCUACCAGCUAAGCUAUACCCCAAGGCCCAUAUUGAUUUUUGAGACAGGUUCUCACAGUAUAACUCAGGCUGACCAGAAACUCACAGUAUAGUCAGGCUGGCCUUGAACUCAUGGUGAUUUUCUUGCCUCAACUUUUCUUUCUUUUUUAUUUUUCCUUUAUUUUUUUGAGACAAAGUUUGACUGUGAAGCAACUCUGGCUGUCCUGAAAUUCAUUCUAUAGACCAGGCUGGCCUUGAACUCACAGAGAUCCUUGCCUCUGCCUCCCGAGUGCUGGGACUAAAGGCAUUAACUGCCACUACCUGAUGUGCCUCAGUUUCUGAAUGCUGAGAUUACAGGUAGAAGCCACCAUGCCCAGCUAAUACCUGUCUUCCUUAUCCAUUUAUUUGUGUGAUUCCCUAUCUGGCUAUGAGAAGUAAUGUUGCCCUGAACAUUAACUGCUGGUAUCAUCUCAGAGUUCUGAUUUCAUUUCCUUUGAGUGUAAAUCUAAAGGAUUGCUGGGUCAUGUGGUGAGUUCAUUUGUAAUUUUUUGUCAGUACUUUCUAUACUAUGUUAUAUACCAAAUUACAUUUGCACUCAGUGUACCUGGAUCCUCCUGUCUCCUUGGCCUUUCAAAUAUAUGUUAUCUUUCUUUUUAUACAGGUUGUACAAAAUGUAAAAGAAAUGUACUGUCUUUUCUAUGAAAGACUUAAAUAAGAGAAAAACUCCAUUA